rnacentral:rRNA from 1 species
AUGAUUUGCCAAAUUUCCCCGUCGCCGGUCUCAAUCAUCUCAUUCCUGUGCCGAAAUGACAGCCUCGGGCGGAGCAAUGAUAUAAUUAACACAUUUUUUCGUUCUCUUUCUUUCCAUUUCCCCCUUGCCGACUUCGCAGCCGCUCUGUUUCAGAGCAGGCCGAAGAAUAAACAGACUCCAAAGCAGGAACGCAAACAGAACGAAGCAGAAAAGAAAGCGACUACAGCUCAGCGCUACACUUCACAAGAUCUAGCGGCGGUGCGACUUCUUUGCACUUGCAUCGGCGGACGGCCGAUGGUUUUACUACUGGCGUUUUAA